CCUACGGGUGGCAGCAGUAGGGAAUAUUGCUCAAUGGGGGAAACCCUGAAGCAGCAACGCCGCGUGGAGGAUGACGGUUCUCUGAUUGUAAACUCCUUUUUUUAGAGAAGAUAAUGACGGUAUCUAACGAAUAAGCACCGGCUAACUCCGUGCCAGCUGCCGCGGUAAUACGGAGGGUGCAAGGGUUACUCGGAAUCUCUGGGCGUAAAGAGCGCGUAGGCGGGAUAGCAAGUCAGAGGUGAAAUCCUAUGGCUUAACCAUAGAACUGCAUUUGAAACUGUUAUUCUAGAGUAUGGGAGAGGUAGGUGGAAUGCUUGGUGUAGGGGUAAAAUGCGUAGAGAUCAAGAGGAAUACUCAUUGCGAAGGCGACCUGCUAGAACAUAACUGACGCUGAUGCGCGAAAGCGUGGGGAGCAAACAGGAUUAGAUACCCGGGUAGUC
rnacentral:rRNA from 1 species